rnacentral:rRNA from 1 species
GAUGAACGCUGGCGGCGUGCCUAAUACAUGCAAGUCGAGCGAACGGACGAGGAGCUUGCUCCUCUGACGUUAGCGGCGGACGGGUGAGUAACACGUGGAUAACCUACCUAUAAGACUGGGAUAACUUCGGGAAACCGGAGCUAAUACCGGAUAAUAUAUUGAACCGCAUGGUUCAAUAGUGAAAGACGGUUUUGCUGUCACUUAUAGAUGGAUCCGCGCCGCAUUAGCUAGUUGGUAAGGUAACGGCUUACCAAGGCAACGAUGCGUAGCCGACCUGAGAGGGUGAUCGGCCACACUGGAACUGAGACACGGUCCAGACUCCUACGGGAGGCAGCAGUAGGGAAUCUUCCGCAAUGGGCGAAAGCCUGACGGAGCAACGCCGCGUGAGUGAUGAAGGUCUUCGGAUCGUAAAACUCUGUUAUUAGGGAAGAACAAAUGUGUAAGUAACUAUGCACGUCUUGACGGUACCUAAUCAGAAAGCCACGGCUAACUACGUG